rnacentral:rRNA from 1 species
GAUGAACGCUGGCGGCGUGCUUAACACAUGCAAGUCGAACGAUGAAGCCCAGCUUGCUGGGCGGAUUAGUGGCGAACGGGUGAGUAACACGUGAGUAACCUGCCCUUAACUCUGGGAUAAGCCUGGGAAACUGGGUCUAAUACCGGAUAGGAGCGCCUACCGCAUGGUGGGUGUUGGAAAGAUUUAUCGGUUUUGGAUGGACUCGCGGCCUAUCAGCUUGUUGGUGAGGUAAUGGCUCACCAAGGCGACGACGGGUAGCCGGCCUGAGAGGGUGACCGGCCACACUGGGACUGAGACACGGCCCAGACUCCUACGGGAGGCAGCAGUGGGGAAUAUUGCACAAUGGGCGAAAGCCUGAUGCAGCGACGCCGCGUGAGGGAUGACGGCCUUCGGGUUGUAAACCUCUUUCAGUAGGGAAGAAGCGAAAGUGACGGUACCUGCAGAAGAAGCACCGGCUAACUACGUG